UCCCGUCUGGCUCAGUUGGUAGAGCAUGGCGCUUGCAACGCUAGGGUUGUGGGUUUUAUUCCCACAAGGGAC
rfam:Salmo salar isolate Sally breed double haploid chromosome ssa01, whole genome shotgun sequence.